AACGAACGCUGGCGGCAUGCCUAACACAUGCAAGUCGAACGAGACCUUCGGGUCUAGUGGCGCACGGGUGCGUAACGCGUGGGAAUCUGCCCUUGGGUUCGGAAUAACAGCGAGAAAUUGCUGCUAAUACCGGAUGAUGACGUAAGUCCAAAGAUUUAUCGCCCAAGGAUGAGCCCGCGUAGGAUUAGCUAGUUGGUGAGGUAAAGGCUCACCAAGGCGACGAUCCUUAGCUGGUCUGAGAGGAUGAUCAGCCACACUGGGACUGAGACACGGCCCAGACUCCUACGGGAGGCAGCAGUGGGGAAUAUUGGACAAUGGGCGAAAGCCUGAUCCAGCAAUGCCGCGUGAGUGAUGAAGGCCUUAGGGUUGUAAAGCUCUUUUACCCGGGAUGAUAAUGACAGUACCGGGAGAAUAAGCUCCGGCUAACUCCGUGCCAGCAGCCGCGGUAA
rnacentral:rRNA from 1 species